AACGAACGCUGGCGGCAGGCCUAACACAUGCAAGUCGAGCGAACCCUUCGGGGUUAGCGGCGGACGGGUUAGUAACGCGUGGGAAUAUACCCUUUGGUACGGAAUAGCCUCGGGAAACUGAGAGUAAUACCGUAUGUGCCCUUCGGGGGAAAGAUUUAUCGCCAAAGGAUUAGCCCGCGUUGGAUUAGAUAGUUGGUGGGGUAAUGGCCUACCAAGUCUACGAUCCAUAGCUGGUCUGAGAGGAUGAUCAGCCACACUGGGACUGAGACACGGCCCAGACUCCUACGGGAGGGCAGCAGUAGGGAAGUAAUUGGACGAAUGGGGGGAACCCGUACGAUCCAGCCAUGCCGCGUGAGGGAAGAAGGUCC
rnacentral:rRNA from 1 species